rnacentral:rRNA from 1 species
CCUACGGGUGGCAGCAGUGAGGAAUAUUGGUCAAUGGACGAGAGUCUGAACCAGCCAAGUAGCGUGAAGGAUGAAUGCUCUAUGGGUGGUAAACUUCAUUUAUAAAGGAAUAAAACGAGGCACGUGUGCAUUUUGGCAUGUACUUUAUGAAUAAGGAUCGGCUAACACCGUGCCAGCAGCAGCGGUAAUACGGAGGAUCCGAGCGUUAUGCGGAUUUAGUGGGUGUAAAGGGAGCGUAGAUGGGUUGUUAAGUCAGUUGUGAAAGUUUGCGGCGCAACCGUAAAAUUGCAAUUGAUACUGGCAGUCUUGAGGUCAGUUGAGGUAGGCGGAAUUCGUGGUGUAGCGGUGAAAUGCUUAGAUAUCACGAAGAACACCGAUUGCGAAGGCAGCUUACUAAACUGUGACUGACAUUGAUGCUCGAAAGUGUGGGUAUCAAACAGGAUUAGAUACCCUUGUAGUC